ensembl:lncRNA NSUN5P2 NSUN5 pseudogene 2
AACAUGGGGCUGUACGCUGCGGUGGCAGGCGUGCUGGCCGGCGUGGAGAGCCGCCAGGGCUCUAUCAAGGGGCUGGUGUACUCCAGCAACUUCCAGAACGUGAAGCAGCUGUACGCGCUGGUGUGCGAAACGCAGCGCUACUCCGCCGUGCUGGAUGCCGUGAUCUCCAGCGCCGGCCUCCUCAGUGCGAAGAAGCUGCAGCCGCACCUGGCCAAGGGUGCUAGUGUAUGAGUUGUUGGGAAAGGGCUUUCGAGGGGGUGGGGGCCAAUGGAAGGCUCUGUUGGGACGGCACCAGGCGAGGUGUUGAGUUGGCUCGGCUCAAGGUUCUUCGGGGUGUGAGCUGGCAUGAGGACCUGUUGGAAGUGGGAUCCAGGCCUGGUCCAGCCUCCCAGCUGCCUCGAUUUGUGCGUGUGAACACUCUCAAGACCUGCUCCGUUUAUGUAGUUAUUUCAAGAGACAAGGUUUCUCCUAUCAGGGUCGGGCUUCCAGGCUGGAUGGAGUGCCCUGGCGCGAUCUCGGCUCACCGCAACCUCUGCCUCCUGGGUUCAAGCGAUUCUCCUGCUUCAGCCUUCUGAGCAGCUGGGAUUAUGAAGGGGUGGCCUGCCCCUCCACAUCUGUGGGAUAUCUCAUCAGCCUCGAUGACUUACGAGCCCUCAAGGGGAAGCAUUUUCUCCUGGACCCCUUGAUGCCGGAGCUGCUGGUGUUUCCCGCCCAGACAGAUCUGCAUGAACACCCACUGUACCGGGCCGGACACCUCAUUCUGCAGGACAGGGCCAGCUGUCUCCCAGCCAUGCUGCUGGACCCCCGCCAGGCUCCCAUGUCAUGGAUGCCUGUGCCACCCCAGGCAAUAAAGACCAGUCACUUGGCUGCUCUUCUGAAGAACCAAGGGAAGAUCUUUGCCUUUGACCUGGAUGCCAGGCGGCUGGCAUCCAUGGCCACGCUGCUGGCCUGGGCUGGCGUCUCCUGCUGUGAGCUGGCUGAGGAGGACUUCCUGGCGGUCUCCCCCUUAGAUCCGCGCUAUCGUGAGGUCCACUAUGUCCUGCUGGAUCCUUCCUGCAGUGGCUCGGGUAUGCCGAGCAGACAGCUGGAGGAGCCCGGGGCAGGGACACCUAGCCCGCGGCUCGUCUACUCCAUGUGCUCCCUCUGCCAGGAGGAGAAUGAAGACAUGGUACAAGAUGCGCUGCAGCAGAACCCGGGCGCCUUCAGGCUAGCUCCCGCCCUGCCUGCCCGGCCCCACCGAGGCCUGAGCACGUUCCCGGGUGCCGAGCACUGCCUCCGGGCUUCCCCCAAGACCACGCUUAGCGGUGGCUUCUUCGUUGCUGUAAUUGAACGGGUCGAGAUGCCGACCUCAGCCUCACAGGCCAAAGCAUCAGCACCAGAACGCACACCCAGCCCAGCCCCAAAGAGAAAGAAGAGAGCAAAAAGCUGCAGCCGGUGCUUGCACACCGCCUUGCACAUAGCAGAGGCUCCGGGCUCACUCCUUCCUGGUGGGAAAGGAAGAUGCCUGUCCUCUCCGUGGAAGACCCUGGGCCCUCACCGCAGGCAGCAGUUUGCGUUUUGAAAGGUUAUUGGGUCCCUUCCUCGGGCUGUGUUCUUGCUGGUGAGCAAAAGUGUUGCCUGCAGAAAUAAAAUGCAGAACGUACUCUA